AUAUAUAACUCAUCUGAAUUAUCAUUCAUUUUAAAUCAACUAUAAAUUUUUAAAUAUCUUAAUUUACUAUUUUAUUUUUUUAUUUAAUUUGAAUCAGUGAGCAGUAUUUUGAACGAAAACUUUGAAUACUUUUUUAUUUAUACUAGUUGAGUGUACGUGCAAAUAUACGUAAUAAUUAUUUUAAUUUAUUUUAAAUUAAUAUAAAUUUACACAUUAUAUUUAUUUACAAUUUUAUUAUUUAUAAAUUCAUAUAUUAUACUUUAUUAAAAAUAUUUGUAAUAUUCUAUAUUUUUUUAAUUUAUAUAUAUUAAAUAUUUUUAUAUAUUUUUUGAUUUCUGAUGAUCUAAAAUUUAAAUAUGUGUUUUAAACAAAAAGCAUCAAAAUUUAAUUCAUAUUUAUUUCAAAAUUUAAAAUUUAAUUUUGAUCCGCUAUAAUUAAAAUUUUUGGAUAAGAAUGCUAUUUUUUAACAGAUUAAUCAUAAUCGUUCGUUAUUAUUUGAGAUUUUUUUAAUUAAGUGAAUCAUUUAUUUUUAAUUGACACAACCUUCCGUAGGAUUGAAUUUAUAGAUGGAUAAAAAAUGCUAUUUUUUAACAGAUUAAUCAUAACCGUUCAUUCUUAUUUGAGAUUUUUUUAAUUAAGUUAUCAUAUCCGCAGGAAAUAUAGGGAAUAUUUUUUUAUUCCUUUUUAGAUUUCGUCGGUUAUUGUUGAAAUUCUUAUACGCUUUUAUAUAUAUAAUAUAGAUUUAUAGGUUUAGAUGUUAUACUUCAUACAAUUCUCACAACAAUAAAUUUACUAAACUAAAUAAUUAAUUUAAAAUUUGAAGUCAAAAUAUUAUUGACCGGCUCAAAUCAAAUAAACAGAAUGAUUGAACGGUGAUUUAGUAAGAGAAAAAAUUUACAGCUAAUCAACUCAAAAUGGUUUAUAAAUCUGAAAAGUUCAAUAUAGUUUUUACUUAUUUAAAAUAUUU
rnacentral:lncRNA from 1 species